UUUAGAACGUGUGGUAAUAUGUUCUGAGACCUUCCAUAUGUUAAUUAUGCAUGCUUCACUCUAUGGCUACGGGAGGCUUGUGAAAUCAAAGCAAAAUUGCAGGGCCCCAAAUGUGAAUAACAGCACCAAGGUGUUCUGAGGAUUUGGGAAGAAACUUGACUUGGCUGCAGGGACAAUGGAGACAACAGAAGAAACAGCACAUAAUGGGUUCUGAUUAAGAUGGAAAUCUUUAUCAGAUUAUCUUUAUCUGAUAAAGAUGGGAGAAGAUCUAUGGCAAAGCCCUCAGAGCUGCUGCAGUUGUGUUCUGCCUUUGGACUGAAGGGAAAACUCCUGCAUUCACUGAACAUCCUUGCACUCAAAGAGCUCUUUGUGAUGCCUUGACCUGGAUCAGAGGCUGGAUGGAGUUCCAGAAUAAAGCAGGGAUUGAUUCCAAGGAUCU